CAAUAGCGUAUAUUAAAUUUGCUGCAGUUAAAAAGCUCGUAGUCGAAAUUCGGACAUCAACGCAAGAAGGCCUGAGGGUCAACUUGACGACGAUGUCUUUAUCGGAGGUAGGAAUUUAGAGUUUUCUCUUUCCUUUUUAAGAAGGGAAAGUUAAAACCUAAUUUUGAGUCCGAGAGUUACCUUGAGCAAAAUAGAGUGUUCAUCGCAUGCGAUAGCAUGAAUACACUAGCAUGGAAUAACGAAACGGCGUGAGCAGUUUUGUUGGUUGGGCGGCGCUCGCCAUGAUGAAUAGGAACAGUUGGGGGCAUUAGUAUUCGGCAGUCAGAGGUGAAAUUCUUGGAUUUGCCGAAGACUAACUACGGCGAAAGCAUUUGCCAAGGAUGUUUUCAUUGA
rnacentral:rRNA from 1 species